rnacentral:rRNA from 1 species
CCUACGGGAGGCUGCAGUGGGGAAUAUUGGACAAUGGGGGCAACCCUGAUCCAGCCAUGCCGCGUGUGUGAAGAAGGCCCUCGGGUUGUAAAGCACUUUCAGCGAGGAAGAACGCCUAUCGGUUAAUACCCGGUAGGAAAGACAUCACUCGCAGAAGAAACCCCGGCUAACUCCGUGCCAGCAGCCGCGGUAAUACGGAGGGGGUUAGCGUUGUUCGGAAUUACUGGGCGUAAAGCGUACGUAGGCGGAUCAGAAAGUAGGGGGUGAAAUCCCAGGGCUCAACCCUGGAACUGCCUCCUAAACUCCUGGUCUUGAGUUCGAGAGAGGUGAGUGGAAUUCCAAGUGUAGAGGUGAAAUUCGUAGAUAUUUGGAGGAACACCAGUGGCGAAGGCGGCUCACUGGCUCGAUACUGACGCUGAGGUACGAAAGUGUGGGGAGCA